GAAAUUGUUCCAGGGGGUACAAUCAGAAAUAUUUUGGAUCUGGCCAAUAUUUUAGGAUGUAAGGUAACUUUGUUACCUAUGAAAUACCUUGGGUUACCUCUGGGGGCCCCUCACAAAUCAGUGUCUAUUUGGGAUGGGGUGAUUGAGAAGAUUGAGAGGAGAUUAGAAGGUUGGAAAAAUUUUUAUUUGUCAAAAGGGGGCAGAGUCACAUUGAUUAAAAGCACAUUGUCUAAUUGACCCACAUAUUUACUCUCCCUCUUUCCUUUACCUGUGGGGGUUGCUACAAGAAUUGAGAGGAUUUUUCGGAAUUUCUUAUGGGAUGGUAAUGGGGAGGAAAGAAAAUAUCACUUGGUGAGUUGGAAUAAGGUUUGUAUACCGAUGUCAUGUGGAGGAUUGGGCAUUCGGAAUUUAAAGCUUUUCAAUAAAGCUCUUCUUGGGAAGUGGCUUUGGAGGUACAACAAUGAGAGUAAUGCAUUAUGGAGGUAGAUUGUGGAUGUUAAAUAUGGGAGGAUGUGGGAGAAUUGGUGUACUAAUGAAGUAAAAGGGGUGUAUGGGGUGGGUUUGUGGAAGUCCAUUUGGUCGGGAUGGGGGGAUUUUGUCAAAAACAUUAAUUUCAAAGUUGGGAACGGGACAAAUAUUAAUAUCUGGCAUGAUAAUUGGUGCGGGGAUUCAGCUCUUAAAUUUGUAUUUCCUAAUCAUUUUUGGAUUGCUAGAAACAAAGGGGCUGCAGUGGCUGACUCUUAUCAGUUAUCUAAUAAUAUGUUGCAUUGGAAUGUGGAAUUUACUAGAGAAUUACAGGACUGAGAAGUGUGUGAAGCUGCUGAUUUCUUUGUAAAAUUAUAUGUUACGAAGAUCGAUCA